rnacentral:rRNA from 1 species
UACGUAGGGGCUAGCGUUGUCCGGAAUCAUUGGGCGUAAAGCGCGUGUAGGCGGUCCGGUAAGUCCGCUGUGAAAGUCGGGGGCUCAACCCUCGAAUGCCGGUGGAUACUGUCGGGCUAGAGUGCGGAAGAGGCGAGUGGAAUUCCUGGUGUAGCGGUGAAAUGCGCAGAUAUCAGGAGGAACACCAAUUGCGAAGGCAGCUCGCUGGGACGUAACUGACGCUGAGACGCGAAAGCGUGGGGAGCAAACAGG